AAAAAACUCCAAAAAGAAAUAAUCUGUCUUCACUCUCACCUGACAUUGUUCUUUACGCCCUUCAAAACCAUAACCUAACAAAGCUCUCAAAGGCCAAACCCCACCCGUCACUCUCUUUUUUAAUCUCUUCCCUUCAUUUCUUUCACCAUUUCCAUUGAUUUUUUUAACAAUGGCAGCAACUUCCUUAACCCUCUCAAGAUUCCUCUCACCGGCCGCCGCCAUUUCAUUAUCCAGCACCACCAAGCUUUCCUCUAAAUCCCUUCCUUUAAAGUUCUCCUCCGUUUCUUCCCUUUCCUUCAACCUCCACCGCCGCCGCGUUUCAAAACCCAUUUCCUUUUCCACCAAAACAACCCAAAUCUCCGCCGCUAUCUCCGUCGGAGAUAAGCUUCCU
rnacentral:lncRNA from 1 species